UACGUAGGGCGCAAGCGUUGUCCGGAAUUAUUGGGCGUAAAGAGCUCGUAGGCGGUUUGUCGCGUCUGCUGUGAAAACCUGAGGCUCAACCUCGGGCUUGCAGUGGGUACGGGCAGACUAGAGUGCGGUAGGGGUGACUGGAAUUCCUGGUGUAGCGGUGGAAUGCGCAGAUAUCAGGAGGAAUACCGAUGGCGAAGGCAGGUCACUGGGCCGCAACUGACGCUGAGGAGCGAAAGCAUGGGGAGCGAACAGG
rnacentral:rRNA from 1 species